GGGGAAUAUUGGACAAUGGGCGAAAGCCUGAUCCAGCCAUGCCGCGUGUGUGAAGAAGGUCUUCGGAUUGUAAAGCACUUUAAGUUGGGAGGAAGGGCAGUAAGUUAAUACCCAAGAUGAGUGGACGUUACUCGCAGAAUAAGCACCGGCUAACUCUGUGCCAGCAGCCGCGGUAAUACAGAGGGUGCGAGCGUUAAUCGGAUUUACUGGGCGUAAAGCGUGCGUAGGCGGCUUUUUAAGUCGGAUGUGAAAUCCCCGAGCUUAACUUGGGAAUUGCAUUCGAUACUGGGAAGCUAGAGUAUGGGAGAGGAUGGUAGAAUUCCAGGUGUAGCGGUGAAAUGCGUAGAGAUCUGGAGGAAUACCGAUGGCGAAGGCAGCCAUCUGGCCUAAUACUGACGCUGAGGUACGAAAGCAUGGGGAGCAAACA
rnacentral:rRNA from 1 species